AAUUAGAAGAAAUGGCAGGAAAGGCUUGUUCCAAGAAAGUGUUACAGAUUAGAAAAAGAAAAUAUUGGGGUGGAUGUAUAAGGUGCAAAAUGGAAUAGAAGAUUAUGCUAAUUGAAAUAUACUUAAAUGACCCGUAAUUCAAUAGAAUUAAUUGAUAAUUUCAUUUACAGUAUUAGAAUUUUAUUGAGCUAUGUAUAGAUAGAUGGAAGAUUUGAUGUAUCAAUAUUUUGUGUUUGAACGUGCUAAGUUUUGU
rnacentral:misc_RNA from 1 species